GACGAACGCUGGCGGUGUGCUUAACAUAUGCAAGUCGAACGGAAAGGCCCUGCUUUUGUGGGGUGCUCGAGUGGCGAACGGGUGAGUAACACGUGAGUAACCUGCCCUUGACUUUGGGAUAACUUCAGGAAACUGGGGCUAAUACCGGAUAGGAGCUCCUGCUGCAUGGUGGGGGUUGGAAAGUUUCGGCGGUUGGGGAUGGACUCGCGGCUUAUCAGCUUGUUGGUGGGGUAGUGGCUUACCAAGGCUUUGACGGGUGGCCGGCCUGAGAGGGUGACCGGCCACAUUGGGACUGAGAUACGGCCCAGACUCCUACGGGAGGCAGCAGUGGGGAAUAUUGCACAAUGGGCGGAAGCCUGAUGCAGCAACGCCGCGUGCGGGAUGACGGCCUUCGGGUUGUAAACCGCUUUCGCCUGUGACGAAGCGUGAGUGACGGUAAUGGGUAAAGAAGCACCGGCUAACUACGUG
rnacentral:rRNA from 1 species